UACGUAGGGUGCGAGCGUUGUCCGGAAUUAUUGGGCGUAAAGAGCUCGUAGGCGGUCUGUCGCGUCGAUCGUGAAAACUUGGGGCUUAACCCUGAGCUUGCGGUCGAUACGGGCAUGACUGGAGUUCGGCAGGGGAGACUGGAAUUCCUGGUGUAGCGGUGGAAUGCGCAGAUAUCAGGAGGAACACCAGUGGCGAAGGCAGGGUCUCUGGG
rnacentral:rRNA from 1 species